CAGCCGCCGCGGUAAAACGGAGGGUGCAAGCGUUAAUCGGAAUUACUGGGCGUAAAGCGCACGCAGGCGGUCUGACAAGUCAGAUGUGAAAUCCCCGGGCUUAACCUGGGAACUGCAUUUGAAACUGUCAGGCUGGAGUCUUGUAGAGGGGGGUAGAAUUCCAGGUGUAGCGGUGAAAUGCGUAGAGAUCUGGAGGAAUACCGGUGGCGAAGGCGGCCCCCUGGACAAAGACUGACGCUCAGGUGCGAAAGCGUGGGGAGCAAACAGGAUUAGAUACCCGUGUAGUCCCUGUCUCUUAUAC
rnacentral:rRNA from 1 species